UUGAUUAUGUAGAUUUCUUUUCCUACUGCAGUUUCAUAUGCAAAGCAUGCAUCAGCCACAUCCAUGCUAUCUCCUAAAGCAGUCAUUCUGAAACCCAAUCUGGGGACAGUGCAGACUAAAUAAAAUUUCAUUUUGAUUUGGCCUCCCGCUGCGAACGGGACUGCUUUGUCUCAGCCGACAGAACCAGCAAGCCAGAAAGGUGUGGAAUACUAAAAUACUGACUGAAAGGAGAAUUGUACAGGCGCUGCUGUGAUGCUCCAGAGAUUUCACUGGAAGAUUUGUCAUGCUGAUUUUAUUGUAAAUUUGAAGAUGCAUUUAACAGCUUUGAAGGACCUUAGCUUCCAUGGUCCUUUUGAGCCGCUUUGGCAGAAAAGCAAUCGCCCAUUUUAGAGAAGGGGAGAAAUAGAGAAUAAAGACUCUCCUCCAAUAGGACUGAACGGUUUUGCCAUCUUGGUAUGUUUUAUAAAAUGCACUGUGGUGUUUUCCCGAAGAGCUGCUAAAUAUGGCUCUGCUUUAAACAAUGACCUUCACUGGGAGUCAUCUCAUGAGAGACUAUGUUGUGUCAAAUGUUCUUCUUACACUUGUCCCCCCUUUGGGAGAAUGUACUAGCAAUCAGGGACAACCUGCUGUGAUAUUCUCAGAAGAAGCUUUAGAUAAGAUGGCGAAGCACCAGGGGACUGACAGGUGGUGGGAACUCAGUUUUCAAGCCCAAAUUUAUCCUUGAAAUUGUUAUUGCCCUUCACCAAUUCAUAGGGUGCUAUAAAGGAAAGAAGUUUUUUCCCUGGCUCACAUAUUGGCAUAUCAUUAAUCUAAAUCAAAUUACAGCAAACUGGUAAAGAUGGAGAUAGAGUAAAUGACAAAUAAAUUGCUUAAGAGAAGAGCACAAAGAAAAGUUCACUCUGACUCUGGGGUUCUGCCUAAGUAAUUCCACAUAGGAUAUAGAUUAGCAGAUGAAAAAUACCAAUUAGCUUCAUAGGGACCUCACCCCACCCAUCCAGAGCAAAAACAAAAAAAGUCACAUCAUGUAACUUUGUAAAGGGUCAAAAAUUAACUUUGGCCAAUCCAUAAUGUUGUGGCCAUUCUAGAGUUUUGAGGGGAGUCGUGCUCCAGGGGUACUUCCAGAUGCCAUUUCUGAAAUGUAAUGGCUGAGGUCUUUGCCAUUACAAUAAAUUAUCCUUUCACCGCAAAGUCUCUCAGUUCACUAUUUUGCACCUGUUAGCCAAGCGCUGUGGGAGAGAAGAGUCACCAAGAGCGUUAGUCAUUUGUUGAUAGACUCCCUACUUACUACAUACAACAGAUUGAAGAACAAAAUGAAAGUUAGUUAAAGAAGACGUUGAAGAAACAAUAGUGUGAAAACAGCAUGAGAUGUCAUUUGGUAAAUAUGCCACAGCCUCACAUAAGGAAGAGGAAAAUGGCAGUGUGGGCCAUGACUGGCAGGCCUGGAUCCAUAGACUGUGAUUUCCAGGAUCACCCAACAGAUGAAGACGUAUGUCCAGCUAGAAUCAUUUGUCCUUAAACCAGGUUAAGUUGCCGUCCAUGCCAAAUGAGUAUUCAGGACAGAGGUCAUGUACAGGUACUCUAGGACUCAGAAUGCUGGUGAUGUGACCUCAAAAAAGGAGGUGCGGCUGUGAAGACAAGAUGCUGCUAUAAAGGCCUGCAUGACCUGCCAAAGGCUAUCUUUUAUAGCACCAGAGAGGAGCAGUUUUUUAGCUUUUGUUCACUGCCCAAAUGUUUUGGGAGAAAUCUGUGCUAGAGUGGCCAAAAAGGAAUAGAACCUACUCGCGUGUACAUUCGUUAGGUUAUAUUAUCUGAAAAACUAAGCAUAUUAUGUUAUAGAAUUAUCACCUCUAGUGAAGCCCAGCAAAGAAACUUCGACUCCUACACCAAGAAUGGAAAAGAACGACUCCGAGAAGGGACAGCUUUGUCUACUUUUGCACUCAGGCUGGAGUGACUCUGCCCUGUUUUCUCUCCUCAGUUCUUCAGGCUCCCUAGCAGCCGUGGAGGAACGCCUCAGGUGGUCUCGCAAGUCCUGGACUCUGCUUCAGUGAAAAAUUGGAGAGAAGUUGCUUUUGGGUUGUUGUUUGAACUUUCCACGAAGAGAGUUCGGAUCCAGCAUUUAUGUGUGUUAAAAAUGUUUGCAGCAUUUGCCCACUUACGAAUGUAUGCAUUCUCUCUACAUCUUUCUACAUCUAUUGCACGUCUUCCCCAUAGCAGGAACCAUUAAGACUCGGGGGGGCCACGAAGUACGUAAGUCUUGGCUCUCUGCUCUGGGAGCACUUGCCAGAACAGAGGGACAGACGGGCAAGGGUAUAAUUGAAAUACGAGAUCAUGUUUGUAAUCGAGAUAUUAAGUGACUGCUAUGAGAGGACUGCUCAAUGAACCACCAGUGAGCUCCCUGGGGGUCAGGUCACACCUCAGUGGAAUGUGAUAUUUGAGCUUCAGGUACUCUACGGUUUACAUACAGCUCGACCCCACCAAAUCUCAUGUUGAUAUGUGGUCCCCCUGUGCUGGUGGGGAAGGUGGGGCCCUGUGGGAAAUGUCUGGGUCAUUGACGGGGAGUUCCUUUAUGAAUGGCCUGGAAUGGGUCUCAUGGUAGUGAGUUCUGCUCUCCUUAGACUGGAUUACUUCUCGUGAGAAUAAACUGAUUCCCCUGAGAGGGGGCUGUUAUAAAGCGAGGACCCCCUCGGAUUUUGCCCUUUCUUUGUUGACCUUCGUGCAUGUUACCACCCAGCACAAAAGCCCCCACCGGAAGCUGAGCAGAUGCUGGCACCAUGUCCCAUGAACUUCCCGCCCGGUGGAACCGUGAGCUACAGAAAGCUCUCUUCUUUAUGAAUUACUCA